rnacentral:rRNA from 1 species
ACAGCUCAAAUUUGAAAUCUGGCUCUUUCAGGGUCCGAGUUGUAAUUUGUAGAGGGUGCUUUGGUGUUGACUACGGCCUAAGUUCCUUGGAACAGGACGUCACAGAGGGUGAGAAUCCCGUAUGUGGCUGCUAGCCUUCACCGUGUAAAGCCCCUUCGACGAGUCGAGUUGUUUGGGAAUGCAGCUCUAAAUGGGAGGUAAAUUUCUUCUAAAGCUAAAUACUGGCCAGAGACCGAUA